UUACGGCCAUAUCAUGUUGAAACUACCGAUUCCCGUACGAUCUCCGAAGUUAAGCAACGUCGAGCCAUGUCAGUACCUAGAUGGGUGACCAAUUGGGAAUACCAGUUGCUGUAAG